GAUGAACGCUGGCGGCGUGCCUAAUACAUGCAAGUCGAGCGAACGGACGAGAAGCUUGCUCUUCUGAUGUUAGCGGCGGACGGGUGAGUAACACGUGGAUAACCUACCUAUAAGACUGGGAUAACUUCGGGAAACCGGAGCUAAUACCGGAUAAUAUUUUGAACCGCAUGGUUCAUAAGUGAAAGACGGUUUUGCUGUCACUUAUAGAUGGAUCCGCGCUGCAUUAGCUAGUUGGUAAGGUAACGGCUUACCAAGGCAACGAUGCGUAGCCGACCUGAGAGGGUGAUCGGCCACACUGGAACUGAGACACGGUCCAGACUCCUACGGGAGGCAGCAGUAGGGAAUCUUCCGCAAUGGGCGAAAGCCUGACGGAGCAACGCCGCGUGAGUGAUGAAGGUCUUCGGAUCGUAAAACUCUGUUAUUAGGGAAGAACAUAUGUGUAAGUAACUGUGCACAUCUUGACGGUACCUAAUCAGAAAGCCACGGCUAACUACGUG
rnacentral:rRNA from 1 species